AUUGAACGCUGGCGGCAUGCUUUACACAUGCAAGUCGAACGGUAACAGGCCGCAAGGUGCUGACGAGUGGCGAACGGAUGAGUAAUGUAUCGGAACGUGCCCAGUCGUGGGGGAUAACGCAGCGAAGGCUGUGCUAAUACCGCAUACGAUCUAUGGAUGAAAGCGGGGGACCGUAAGGCCUCGCGCGAUUGGAGCGGCCGAUAUCAGAUUAGGUAGUUGGUGGGGUAAAGGCUCACCAAGCCGACGAUCUGUAGCUGGUCUGAGAGGACGACCAGCCACACUGGGACUGAGACACGGCCCAGACUCCUACGGGAGGCAGCAGUGGGGAAUUUUGGACAAUGGGCGCAAGCCUGAUCCAGCAAUGCCGCGUGCAGGACGAAGGCCUUCGGGUUGUAAACUGCUUUUGUACGGAGCGAAACGGCCCUCUCUAGUAAAGAGGGCUAAUGACGGUACCGUAUGAAUAAGCACCGGCUAACUACGUGCCAGCAGCCGCCGUAA
rnacentral:rRNA from 1 species